UACGUAGGGUGCGAGCGUUAAUCAGAAUUACUGGGCGUAAAGCGCGCGUAGGCGGUUUGUUAAGUCAGCUGUGAAAGCCCCGGGCUCAACCUGGGAACUGCAGUUGAUACUGUCCGACUAGAGUACGAGAGAGGGAGGUAGAAUUCCAUGUGUAGCGGUGAAAUGCGUAGAUAUAUGGAGGAAUACCAGUGGCGAAGGCGGCCUCCUGGCUCGAUACUUGACGCUGAGGUGCGAAAGCGUGGGGAUCAAACAGG
rnacentral:rRNA from 1 species